rnacentral:rRNA from 1 species
ACCGUGUACGUACAAGCAGUGGGAGCACCUUCGGGUGUGACUGCGUACCUUUUGUAUUAUGGGGCAGCGAAUUUUAUUCCGUAACAAGGUUAACCGUAUAGGGGACCCCAAAGAUGGUGAACUAAAGACCGCUGGCGAACGCGUGCACUUCUCCCCUAGUAGGACGUCGCGACCCGUUGGGUGCCGGUCUAAGGCCCGCGGUGGAGACCGCCGGGGUACGGUUCAUCCCGUAUCCUUGCGGACCCGCGGUGUCCCGACCGGCUCGCUCGACGGUAGAACGGUGGCGGAGGGUCGCGAAAGUUCGCGCCCGGCCCGUCGCAAGCGCGACCGUUCGCCCGAAUGUCGGACCUGCGCGCCGACACCGGGCACGGGCGGCUGCUGGCGACGGUGUCCUCGGGCGGACCCCGAUACACGCCCGUCGGCGACGCUUUAGCUUUGGAUACUUUCAGGACCCGUCUUGAAACACGGACCAAGGAGUCUAGCAUGUGCGCGAGUCAUUGGGACUCUACUAAACCUAAAGGCGCAAUGAAAGUGAAGGCCGCCUUGCGCGUGCCUAGGGAGGACCGGUCGGACCCAAAAAAGUCCGCGCCGUGCACUCCCGGGGCGUCUCGUUCUCAUCGCGAGUUGAGGCGCACCCAGAGCGUACACGCUGGGACCCGAAA